rnacentral:rRNA from 1 species
UACGGAGGGUGCAAGCGUUAAUCGGAAUUACUGGGCGUAAAGCGUGCGCAGGCGGUUUUUUAAGUCAGAUGUGAAAGCCCCGGGCUUAACCUGGGAAUUGCAUUUGAUACUGAAAGACUUGAGUUUGAGAGAGGGGAGUGGAAUUUCAGGUGUAGCGGUGAAAUGCGUAGAGAUCUGAAGGAACACCAGUGGCGAAGGCGACUCCCUGGCUUAAAACUGACGCUCAUGUACGAAAGCGUGGGUAG